CUCAAUAUGUAUUUCAUAACAUAAAUAUUCAUUUCAUUUAAAUAAUCAACAUGGCUUAUGAGUAUCUUAAAAGCUUGGCACCUGCCAAAAUCAUUCUCGGGAAUACCUUGGCCAAGGCAUUUGACCGAGUUUGCCAAGGGUGUUAAAAAGUUUUGUAUACACAUAAACAUAUUUUUAAUUUGAAAAACACAGCCGUUCCUUGGCUUUAGCAGAGUUUAUCAUCACGAGGUGGUUCGGCGUGACGUGAACUCUAACCAUACCUCAGAAGAUACCCUACAUGCCUUUCCAACCGAGGUACAUAUAUAAUCGAAUUUCGUGCCCCUCUAAUAGGCUAGUCAACAGAACCCGCCCAUUGCAGCAAGCUAAACCCACCAUACAAUAAAAUUUUGACAACAUGACAUGACUAAUAUUAUACUACCCAGCCUAUAAAUGUAAAAUAGAACAAUUCAUAUAGUUCACAAAUCACAAUUCCAACCAGUCAUGCCAACACAUUAUCAUAAGCCAUCAAUUAGAAUCAUAAAUUACAACACAUCAAGUGGUCUCCAGUUACUCUAUUUUCAAAGCCAUAAUUCAAUUUUAAGACAAUUUAUAAAAUCUUUUCAUUUAAACACAUUUUGUUUAUAAAACCUAAAAAUUAACCAUUUAAACUCAUUUUUCAUAAAAUUCACAAAAUCGAAUAAAAAGACCACUUUAGAUAAUUAAAACGAUGAUAAGGUUACUCACAGUUCUAGGAGUUCGAUAUACUCCUAUUCUCGAUCUUCGGGCACAAUCUCUUUACCCUUGUUAGAGGGCUCACCACCUACACAUCAUACGUAACACGAAUUUCAAUAAAUUAUAUCAAUUUAUCAUAAACUAUUCCAAGCUUUAUAAAUCUAUAUGAAUGCACGAAAUGUGAUACAAAAUGUUCGAAUAAUCAUUUAAAUAUGGUAUUUGACCUAAUUUGCACUAUUCUCGGUGUAAUUGGCUAAAACCUCCAAUUUAACUCCAAAUCGAUUUCUUUCACUUUCUACACUCCAAUUAUACUUAAAAUACCUCAAUGACUGUGAAUAUGAUUCAAUUUAUCAGUCCGAACCAUAAAUCGCACAUGUCUAUACAUUAGGUAAAAAUUCAGAUUUUCAUGCCAAAAUUUCCCAUUAAAUUUCUAGCCUCACCAAUCAUUAAAUACCACCAAAAUAUCAUGAAAUAUCAUCAAUUUCAGCCUCAAUAUCCUCCCUAGAAAAUUCGGCCUCUUGUGGGUUUGUGAAGAACAAAGUGAUUCCUUGCUAGAUUUUCAUACUUUCCAUUACCAAACAACCAAAAACACUUAAUUAGCUUGAAAUCUAGCAAAAUCAAUGCUCAAAACCUCUCCUCUCAAAUUCGGCCAGCAUGGGUUCAUCAUGCAAACUUGAGUUCUAAGCAUGGAAAAUGAAAAAGAAAGCAUGGGUAGUGUAAAUCACAAGAUAAAAUCACAAAAUUUUACUUUUAUUAGCUUAAUUCCUUGAAAUCCCACACUUUUUCUUCAAUAUUCCCACCUAGGGUUUGUGUUCUUUCCUUUCCUCUUCACUUCUUGUUUUGGCAGGCCAUAUGAAGGAAAUAAGCUGAUUUUAUGCUAAUUUCAAAGCUAAAUAAUAAAUGGAUAUAAACUUGACACAUGUCACCAUUCCAUUGGUCCAUGUGUCAUACUUACCCAUUAAGCAAUCUCUCUCCACCAUUUAAAUUUUCUCAAUUAUCCAUGAUAAUAUUGGGUAAAAUCCAUGUGCUGUACAAGUGUUAGGUGGUGUAAAAUUACAAUUUUGCCCUUGAGGUGGCAAAAUGACUAUUUUACUUCUUUGCUCGAAAAAAUGUCGAAAUUAAAAAUUUUCACUUCUCAAACUCAAAUUAUGUUCUAAAUAGUAAAUCUUAGUAAAAAAUUUCAUCUAACUCUCACAUCUUAAUCUCGGAUGGCGAAAUGACCAUUUUACCCCUAGAUCAUGAAAAUUCCAAUUUGACUCCAUAUCGGUGCUCGAACUCCGAUUCACCAUUUUAAGUUAUUUUGGGAAUUUAAAAUUCUCAAUUUCAUCUUAAAAUCUCUAUUCGAUCUAGUUCGAGGCUUAAAUCAACUUUGUUGUACCUCUAGGUACAAUACCAACUUUUUGUAAAUUUUUCGAGAUUCUCCUAGCAUGCAAACAUGCUAUCUAUCACAUGUAUGUCAUGACAAGUAUUUUAUAAGGUGAAGCUUUAUAGCACUACCCCCCUUAAAAUAAAAUUUUGACCUCAAAAUUUCACUUACUGGAUUCCAAGGAAAGAUGUGGAUAUUGGUUUCUCAUCUGGCCCUCGACUUCCCACGUCAUCUCCUCCAUUCGAGCAUUCUUCCACAAUACUUUACCACUGGAAUGCUCUUGUUCCUCAACACUCGAUCCUUUUGAUCUAGAAUACGUACAAGCUGCACCUCGAAUUUCAAAUCUUCAUGCAACUCUAUCGGUGGUGUCUCUAGAAUAUGGGAGGGAUCGGGAACAUACUUUUUCAACAUCGAGACGUGGAAAACAUUAUGAAUCCGAUCUAACUCUAGGGGUAAGCCACUGACCCAAUCCUUUCAAUGAUACGAAAGGGUCCCAUGUAUCUCGGAUUGAGCUUUCCCCACUUCGCGAAUCGAAUCACACCUUUCCAAGGAGAAACCUUAAGAAAAACUUUAUCGUCCACUUCAAACUCCAAAUCUUUCCUUCGUUUAUCAGAAUAACUCUUUUGCCUAUCUUGAGCUGUCUUUAAUCGCUCUCGGAUAAUCUUAAUCUUGUCAUUUGUCAGAUCAAUCAAUCCCACAUUAACCAAUUUCAUUCCAACAGAGUGGAGUUCGGCACUUCCUUCCAUACAAAGCCUCGUAUGGCGCCAUCCCAAUACUAGAAUGAAAACUGUUAUUAUACGCAAACUCCACCAAUGGCAAGUGUCUGUCCCAACUCCCAAUAAAGUCAAUGACACAAUCCCGUAACAUAUCCUCCAAAGUCUGAAUAGUCCUUUCAGAUUGACCAUCUGUCUGCGAAUGAAAAGAGUACUAAAUCUCAAUUUAGUUCCGAGAGCUUCCUAAAAUUUUGACCAAAAUCGAGAAGUAAAUCGGGGGUCUCGAUCUGACACAAUAGAAACUGGAACUCCAUGUAAUCUCACAACCUCAUCUAUAUAAAGUUUAGCCAGUCUCUCAAUAGAAUACGUGCUAUGGAUAGCCAAGAAAUGGGCAGACUUAGUCAAUCUAUCCACAAUCACCCAAAUAGCAUCUUUCCCACUCUGUGUCAAGGGUAAACCCAAUACAAAGUCCAUAGUCACGUGUUCCCACUUUCAUUCUGGAAUAGGUAAAGGCUGAAAAGUACUUGAUGGUUUUUUAUGCUCCGCCUUGAUCUAUUGGCAUGUGAGACAUUUCGCUACAAACUCUGCUAUGUCUCGUUUCAUACCCGACCACCAAUAACUUUCCCUGAUAGUUCGAUACAUCUUCGUGCUUCCGGGAUGUAAAGCAUAGGCGAAAAAAUGAGCUUCCUCUAAAAUAGCUCGUCUCAACUGGUCAUCUUUAGGAACAUAAAUCUGGUCUCCAAGCAUCAAAGUACCAUCAUCGCUGAGUCUAAACUCACUAGUUUCUCCAUCUUGCAGCUUUUGAACUUCCUGUUUCAAUCAAUCAUCAGAUUUCUACAAUUCUCUGAUUUGAUUCAACAAUGAAGGUCUCACAACGAAACUAGAAAGUAGGGUUCCAUCCUUACCAUUAUUCAAUUGAAUCCCUAGAGACUUCAUCUCGAGUAACAUCAAAAAAUAAGAACUCUGAAGCGUUACUAACGACGAUGAGGAUUUACAACUUAAGGCAUCCGCUACAACAUUUGACUUUCCCAGAUGAUAAUCAAUCACUAAGUCAUAAUCCUUAAUCAAUUCUAGCCACCGUCUUUGUCUCAAACUAAGUUCUUUUUAGGUGAGCAAAUAUUUCAAACUUUUAUGGUUGGUAAAAAUCCGACAACGCUCACCAUAUAAGUAAUGCCUCCAAAUCUUCAAUGCAAAGACUACUGCUGCUAACUCCAAAUCAUGGGUAGGGUAAUUCGUCUCGUGCUUCUUCAACUGUCGAGAAGCAUAAGCUAUUACUUUUUCAUCAUGCAUCAAUACGCACCCUAAUCCCAACUUAAAGUCAUCACUGUAUACUACAAAUUCUUUCCCACAAACUGGAAGUGUUAAAACAAGAGCGGAGGUUAACCGGUUCUUUAGCUCAUGAAAUCGACUCUCACAAAAAUCAUCCCACUCAAACUUAACUCCUUUACGAGUCAAACGAGUCAAAGGAGCAGCUAUCAAUGAAAAUCCUUGAAUAAACCUCUGAUAAUAACCGGCUAAGCCAAGAAAACUACGAAUCUCUGUUACCGUUUUUGGUUGCUCCCAUUGCAAGAUUGCUUCAAUCUUCUUGGGAUAGACAUAAAUUCCAGCUUCGGACACCACAUGUCCCAAGAAAACCACUUCCUUCAACCAGAACUCACAUUUAGAGAACUUGGCAUAGAGUUGUCUCUCACGUAAAGUUUGCCACACAAUUCGCAAAUGGACAGCAUAUUCAUCAUCAUUCUUUGAAUAAACCAGGAUGUCAUCUAUGAAUACUAUCACAAACUUAUCUAAGUAUGGAUAGAACACCCUGUUCAUGAGAUCCAUAAAAGCUGCCGGGGCAUUAAUCAAAGCAAACGGCAUCACCAGAAACUCAAAAUGCCCAUAACGAGUCCUAAAAGCAAUCUUGGGUACAUCCUGCUCCUUAAUCUUCAAUUGAUAAUACCUAGACCUCCAAUCAAUCUUAGAAAACACUAUAGCACCUCGUAAUUGAUCAAAAAGAUCAUCGAUCCGUGGUAAAGGGUAUUUAUUGUUGAUGGUCACUUGGUUCAACUGACGAUAGUUAAUACAAAAUCGAAGAGUGCCAUCCUUCUUCUUUACAAAUAAGACUAGUGCUCCCCAAAGAGAAGUGCUAGGGCGAAUAAAAUCCUUAUCCACCAAAUCUUACAGUUGGACUUUUAGUUCCUUCAACUACGUCGAAGCCAUUCGAUAUAGAGGGAUAGAAAUAGGUGCGGUACCUAAAAGUAAAUCAAUAGGGAACUCAAGCUCUCGCUCAAGAGGUAGUCCCGGUAAUUCAUCAGGAAAUACAUCAGGAAACUCACUAACUAUUAGGACAUCCUCUAAUUUAGGUUCCCCCUUUGAAGUAUCAAUCACGUGAGCGAAAUAAGUCGGAUACCCUUUCGAUACUAGUUUCAAAGCCUUAAUGGUCAAGAUUACACAGGACAGUAAUACUCGGCAUUUCCUUGCAAAUAUAAUCUAUGCUCCCUUCGAAUUCUGAAGAACAACUUCUUUUCUAAAACAAUCCACAUUCGCCCGAUGUGCAGUUAACUAGUCCAUACCCAAUAUCAAAUCAAAAUCUUGGAUCUCUAGAGGAAUCAAGUCACCCCUAAAUUCUUCCUCACCAACCAUUACUCAAUAAUCUCUUUAACAACUGUUUCUAACUAGCUUCUCUCCUAAAAUAGUGUGAACUAUAAUUUCUUCCUCUAAUGGUGACAGGUUUCUAUCAGCAAUUGAUGCAAAUGUCAUACUCACAUAAGACCUAUCUGAGCCAGAACCUAUCAAAAUAUAAGCAUCUUUAUCAAAUAAAGACUUAGUACCUAUCACUGCUCCAGGUCAGACUCGUGCCUCAUCUUCUGUCACAGCGAAGACUCUUGUCGAAGUACGAGUCUGUGGUCUCGAAGGUGGAUAUGUCGAGGUGUUACUCUCUACACUAGACUGUAUAGCCACUCCCUACCUCGGUGGUAACCCAGAAAGAUCUCUCCUCUACAUAUCCGUAUGAGCUGGUGGAGAUGGAGUAAUUGUAGUAGCCCGUCCUAGCUGUGGGCACUCACUCUUAAUGUGGCCCGGCUGAUCACAAUCAUAACAUCGUACUGGUCCCCUACACUGCCCAACAUGAUUCCUCUCACACUUCCUGCAUCUAUCAGAACCUCCGAAACUCUUCCCAAAAUAAGUUAUCGCAGAUCUGCUGAAUCUUGGAGGCCUCUGCUGUGACUGUGAAAUAGAGGUCGAAGAGACAUCACUGAAACAGAGGUAGUACUCCCUAAAGUAGAUGAGUCUUUGUUUCUUUUUGGUGGUUCACUGAAAGAUAUACUCGGAUUUCCCCUCUUUACAAACUCGGUCCGAAUCCUCCUAUUUUCACUUGCAAGCUUCUCGGCCCUUAAAGCUAUCUGUACCGCCUCCUUAUGUGGCUCCUUACCAGUCAUUGUCAUCUGCUCUCUAAUCUUAUUACGGAGCCCUUCCUCAAAAUAAUUGGCCUGAUCUUGCUCAGAUUUCACCAGAUCUGGCACAUAUAAUAUCAACUCGUUAAAAUGAGCCUCGCACUCCUCUAUCGUUAAAUUCCCUUGUUUCAAACUCAAAAAUUCUCUCUUCUUUUCUUUCUGAUGGAAAUAAGUGAAAUAUUGACCAUCAAAUUCUCUUAGGAAGUUUGACCAAGUUAGAGGAGUAGUGGAAUGAGAUUUGACUGAAUUCCACCAUGUAUAGGCUCUCUUAUCUAGUAAUCUCGUGGCCACCAUCAACUUCAGGUCGUCAUCCAACCUCAUAUCAGACAGUGUCUCCGAAACCUGAUUAAUCCAAUCUUUGGCUACGGUUGCAUCCAAAUCGCCCGUAAAAGAAACGCAACCCAGUUGUCUAGCUUCCUUCCACUUCUUAGCAAUAGAUACAUCCUGUACUGACGGUGGAAUUGGAGGUAGGGGUGGUGGUACUGAAGGAGCAACUAGUGGUACUAUAGGAGGAGCCUGACCAACCUGAGCCUGGCCAGUAAUAGAGGUAAAGAAGGCUGCCAAUGCCUGGACUGCCUCAAGAGACAUGGCAGGAGUACUAGUAAGUGGUGGAGGAUGUGGAGGAUGUGGAGGAGUCUCUGCCUGCUUAGCAGCAGGUGUUGCCCGAAUGGUGGAUGCAGUCGAUUCUUCCACUACUGCAUCUAGCUGACGACGUUGGGAACAACCUCUUCCCCUCCCAGCCGAUCUAGUGAGAGGUGGACAUCCGUGUCGAGGAGGCAUGAUAAUCUAUAAGGGGAAACAAGCAAGUUUAGGCAACCUCAGGCUCUAUAUGCAAAUGCAUGCAUCCUAUUCAACCUCAUCCAACUUAACCUAGGGCCACACUAACACUGUAAAUUUUUAAAAUAGCUUUAAAACUAAAAACUCUAAUCUUUAAAACCAAAAGCUCUGAUACCAAUCGAAUUGUCACGACCCGGAACUCCCAUCGAGCCGGUGACAACCGCUGCGACGUCUCAAUAAACAUUCAUUACUCGAAAUGUCAACCGAAACCUUGCAAGGCUUAGCAUCAGUUUUUCUCGCUUCUCCCGUGAGUAUUAGUUACUAAAAUCAUGUUUUGAGAGAUUACAAACUAUUUCCAAUUCAAAACAAUAGAAAAAAAAACUUUUCCUUACAAGGGCAUUUUGGUCAUUUUUCCUCUAAGGUCUUGAAAUUUGCUAAAAAUGUAGUAAGCGAGUACAAAACACGUAAUUCAUAAUCAAAAGUAAGUUUAAACAUCUAAAACCUUCAUUUAAAAUGAAAUUACGAUUAUUUGAAUAAAAUAAAAAUAUUUAAUAAAAUAUUAUAUUUUCUUAUAAAACAAUAUUUAUAAAGUUAUCGGUAAAUAAUUUUUGUAGUGUAAAAGCUAAAUAAAUUCAUACAUACUGUAAUACAAUAAGCCAUAGUAUUUAACUUAAUUUACAAUAACUAGUGGGCCCCAAAAUAACCAAAAAUAAGAAAAGACUGUGAACCUACAAUUUGGAGGAUGCAACUCCAAUGGUAGCCCUCGAUGAAAAACAGCUAUCUACAGCCUAUUUUGAACCUAAAAUGGGUGGAAAUGAGAGUGGUGAGAUUUUACAAUCCUAGUGAGUAAACAAACACCAUUCAAAAUAUCUAAAAUUGAGUAAAAAGAGACGAUUAAAAUAUUCUAUCUCAAUAUGUAUUUCAUAACAUAAAUAUUCAUUUCAUUUAAAUAAUCAACAUGGCUUAUGAGUAUCUUAAAAGCUUGGCACCUGCCAAAAUCAUUCUCGGGAAUACCUUGGCAGAGGCAUUUAACCAAGUUCGCCGAGGCUGUUAAAAAGUUUUGUAUACACACAAACAUAUUUUUAGUUUGGAAAACACAACCGUUCCUUGGCGUUAGCGAAGUUCAUCAUCACGAGGUG
rnacentral:lncRNA from 1 species